rnacentral:lncRNA from 1 species
CAGCGUGCGCGCUGAGUUCCUUUGGCUUUAGAGGCCAAAAAGCGCAUGGGAGCCAAUGCGACCACGAGUGGCUUCGAAUUAGAAUGGGGAGGUGCCGCGCAGCGUCAAGACAGGGAUUUUUCUCAAGAGUUGUGAAGCUGCACGAAGAGAAGUUGAAGUAGGAAUCAAGCAAAGUAAAAACCUUGGCCAAUGGGGAUAGUGCUAAAAUCUCCUUCCGGCUGCCCCUCCAAUUGGGAACCCAGUCUGAACAUUACCCCUUGCCUUUCACAGCUGACAAAGCUGUGUGAAGGAGUGUCACAGCAACAGCAGAACUGUCAAGAAAGGACCAAGGAAAGAAGAAGGGGCAUUAUGUACCUAGAGAAAGAGUUCCCAAGAUUGAGCCUAAAUCUGCCAUCUUCCCUGGAGUCUGCCCAAACCAAGGAAAAUAAAGUCACAACUUCUGGUCCUUCACAUGUGAGCGAAGCCAUCUUGGAUUAUUGGCCCCAGUGGAGCUUCCUGAUGGGAGGAGAGGCUGCAGUGGUUCUGAGGGGCAGGUUGGGUCUCCCUGCUCUCCAGCCAAUAACGCAGAGACACAUUUUGAAUCUGCCAGGCAUUGAGUCUGUGUGAUUCCAGGAGCUGCAGGAUAUCACCACGCUGAAGCAGGAACAGACCCAGGGCAGCCCACUUACCUGAAGAGGCACUCUGUCCUUCAACUUUCAAGCUUCCUGCCCUCAAAGAUAUACAAGAUGAUUUUUCCAGAUCAUUAUUUGUUCAAUAUUGGUUUGGGGGACCUUUCUGAAACAAAUCGCAUCCUCUGGUGUCUUGUUGGUGCUUGAGAUGCUUUUUUAAGUUACAUGGAAAAAUGUUUAAGUGCUUUUCAGUUUUGUUUUGGUUGAGUUCUACUGUAUUUGAAUAUUAUUGUAGUUUUUUUCCCCUUGCAUUGUUCUUUGAGUGGUUUUAAU